AGUGGCGAACGGGUGAGUAACACGUGAGCAACCUGCCUUUCAGUGGGGGACAACAUUUGGAAACGAAUGCUAAUACCGCAUAAGACCACAGUGUCGCAUGGCACAGGGGUCAAAGGAUUUAUCCGCUGAAAGAUGGGCUCGCGUCCGAUUAGCUAGAUGGUGAGGUAACGGCCCACCAUGGCGACGAUCGGUAGCCGGACUGAGAGGUUGAACGGCCACAUUGGGACUGAGACACGGCCCAGACUCC
rnacentral:rRNA from 1 species